rnacentral:rRNA from 1 species
GAGUUUGAUCAUGGCUCAGAUUGAACGCUGGCGGCAUGCCUUACACAUGCAAGUCGAACGGCAGCACGGGAGCUUGCUCCUGGUGGCGAGUGGCGAACGGGUGAGUAAUGCAUCGGAACGUAUCCUGGAGUGGGGGAUAACGUAGCGAAAGUUACGCUAAUACCGCAUAUUCUGUGAGCAGGAAAGCGGGGGACCUUCGGGCCUCGCGCUCUUGGAGCGGCCGAUGUCGGAUUAGCUAGUUGGUGAGGUAAAGGCUCACCAAGGCGACGAUCCGUAGCAGGUCUAAGAGGAUGAUCUGCCACACUGGAACUGAGACACGGUCCAGACUCCUACGGGAGGCAGCAGUGGGAAUUUUGGACAAUGGGGGCAACCCUGAUCCAGCCAUGCCGCGUGAGUGAAGAAGGCC